rnacentral:rRNA from 1 species
ACUCCUACGGGAGGCAGCAGUGGGGAAUAUUGCACAAUGGGCGCAAGCCUGAUGCAGCCAUGCCGCGUGUAUGAAGAAGGCCUUCGGGUUGUAAAGUACUUUCAGCAGUGAGGAAGGGGUGGGUAUGUUUAAUAGCAUACUUCAUUUGACGUUAGCUGCAGAAGAAGCACCGGCUAACUCCGUGCCAGCAGCCGCGGUAAUACGGAGGGUGCGAGCGUUAAUCGGAAUUACUGGGCGUAAAGCGCAUGCAGGUGGUUUGUUAAGUCAGAUGUGAAAGCCCGGGGCUCAACCUCGGAAUUGCAUUGAAACUUGG